rfam:Echinostoma caproni strain Egypt genome assembly, scaffold: ECPE_scaffold0002564
AAAACGGCCCUUUUCAGGGCCACACAUUGUGAUUUCUUGUCUUUCU